rnacentral:sRNA from 1 species
GGACCACCCAGUGAGGUUAAGGCCAUACGGACAGCCGGGUCCACUGCCGA